rnacentral:rRNA from 1 species
GACGAACGCUGGCGGCGUGCCUAAUACAUGCAAGUCGAACGCACUCUCGUUUAGAUUGAAGGAGCUUGCUCCUGAUUGAUAAACAUUUGAGUGAGUGGCGGACGGGUGAGUAACACGUGGGUAACCUGCCCUAAAGUGGGGGAUAACAUUUGGAAACAGAUGCUAAUACCGCAUAAACCUAACACCGCAUGGUGUAGGGUUGAAAGAUGGUUUCGGCUAUCACUUUAGGAUGGACCCGCGGUGCAUUAGUUAGUUGGUGAGGUAAAGGCUCACCAAGACCGUGAUGCAUAGC